UACGUAGGGUGCGAGCGUUGUCCGGAAUUACUGGGCGUAAAGGGCUCGUAGGCGGCCAACUAAGUCAGACGUGAAAUCCCUCGGCUUAACCGGGGAACUGCGUCUGAUACUGGAUGGCUUGAGUUCGGGAGAGGGAUGUGGAAUUCCAGGUGUAGCGGUGAAAUGCGUAGAUAUCUGGAGGAACACCGGUGGCGAAGGCGGCAUCCUGGACCGACACUGACGCUGAUGAGCGAAAGCCAGGGGAGCAAACGGG
rnacentral:rRNA from 1 species